rnacentral:rRNA from 1 species
ACCGGAUAACAUUUUGAACNGCAUGGUUCGAAAUUGAAAGGCGGCUUCGGCUGUCACUUAUGGAUGGACCCGCGUCGCAUUAGCUAGUUGGUGAGGUAACGGCUCACCAAGGCAACGAUGCGUAGCCGACCUGAGAGGGUGAUCGGCCACACUGGGACUGAGACACGGCCCAGACUCCUACGGGAGGCAGCAGUAGGGAAUCUUCCGCAAUGGACGAAAGUCUGACGGAGCAACGCCGCGUGAGUGAUGAAGGCUUUCGGGUCGUAAAACUCUGUUGUUAGGGAAGAACAAGUGCUAGUUGAAUAAGCUGGCACCUUGACGGUACCUAACCAGAAAGCCACGGCUAACUACGUGCCAGCAGCCGCGGUAAUACGUAGGUGGCAAGCGUUAUCCGGAAUUAUUGGGCGUAAAGCGCGCGCAGGUGGUUUCUUAAGUCUGAUGUGAAAGCCCACGGCUCAACCGUGGAGGGUCAUUGGAAACUGGGAGACUUGAGUGCAGAAGAGGAAAGUGGAAUUCCAUGUGUAGCGGU